rnacentral:rRNA from 1 species
AGCAGCCGCGGUAAUUCCAGCUCCAAUAGCGUAUAUUAAAGUUGUUGCAGUUAAAAAGCUCGUAGUUGAAUUUCGGGAUCAAAUUGUCGGUCGUGCCUCGGUACGCACUGGUAUUAUUGGUUCCUACCUUCUGAAGAACCGCGAUGUCAUUAAUUUGGUGUCGUGGGGAAUCAGGACUGUUACUUUGAAAAAAUUAGAGUGUUUAAAGCAGGCUUACGCUUGAAUACAUUAGCAUGGAAUAAUGAAAUAGGACGUUUGAUUCUAUUUUGUUGGUUUCUAGGAUUGACGUAAUGAUUAAUAGGGAUAGUUGGGGGCAUUAGUAUUCAAUUGUCAGAGGUGAAAUUCUUGGAUUUAUUGAAGACUAACUACUGCGAAAGCAUUUGCCAAGGAUGUUUUCAUUAAUCAAGAACGAAAGUUAGGGGAUCGAAGACGAUCAGAUACCGUCGUAGUCUUAACCAUAAACUAUGCCGACUAGGGAUCGGAUGAUGUUAAUUUUUAUAAUGACUCAUUCGGCGCCUUA